ACUCCGUACGGGAGGCAGCAGUGGGGAAUAUUGGACAAUGGGGGCAACCCUGAUCCAGCCAUGCCGCGUGUGUGAAGAAGGCCUUUUGGUUGUAAAGCACUUUAAGCAGGGAGGAGAGGCUAAUGGUUAAUACCCCAUUAUGAUUAGACGUUACCUGCAGAAUAAGCACCGGCUAACUCUGUGCCAGCAGCCGCGGUAAAUACAGAGGGUGCGAGCGUUAAUCGGAAUUACUGGGCGUAAAGCGAGUGUAGGUGGCUCAUUAAGUCAACAUGUGUAAAUCCCCGGGCUUAACCUGGGAACAUGCAUGUGAUACUGGUGGUGCUAGAAUAUGUGAGAGGGAAGUAGAA
rnacentral:rRNA from 1 species